rnacentral:rRNA from 1 species
AUUGAACGCUGGCGGCAUGCCUUACACAUGCAAGUCGAACGGUAACAGGUCUUCGGAUGCUGACGAGUGGCGAACGGGUGAGUAAUACAUCGGAACGUGCCCGAGAGUGGGGGAUAACGAGGCGAAAGCUUUGCUAAUACCGCAUACGAUCUCAGGAUGAAAGCAGGGGACCGCAAGGCCUUGCGCUCACGGAGCGGCCGAUGGCAGAUUAGGUAGUUGGUGGGAUAAAAGCUUACCAAGCCGACGAUCUGUAGCUGGUCUGAGAGGAGGACCAGACACACUGGGACUGAGACACGGCCCAGACUCCUACGGGAGGCAGCAGUGGGGAAUUUUGGACAAUGGGCGCAAGCCUGAUUCAGCCAUGCCGCGUGCAGGAUGAAGGCCUUCGGGUUGUAAACUGCUUUUGUACGGAACGAAAAGACUCUGGUUAAUACCUGGGGUCCAUGACGGUACCGUAAGAAUAAGCACCGGCUAACUACGUGCCAGCAGCCGCGGUAAAAC